GGCAAAGAUGAAGAGUGCUGUAUAAAUUCUGACACCUCUUGUAUGAGGGGAGCUUGUUUUCAGGCUCUUCUUUGAGCACAGACAGCAACUCUCUGAGCC
rfam:Jatropha curcas cultivar GZQX0401 scaffold26_35, whole genome shotgun sequence.